ensembl:snoRNA
UGCCUCAUUCUGGAUUGGAAUGGGCCCUGUUGACUGGUGUCCAGAGUGGGUCAGUGUGGCUAAAAUUGAGACCCAGGUCACGCUUCCAUCACAGUGAACAUUUACAGUGGUGACAAGGAGGCCGGUAAUAUUU